UAGCGUAUAUUAAAGUUGUUGCGGUUAAAAAGCUCGUAGUUGGAUUUCAGUUCUGGACUGACGGUUCACCGCCCGGUGCACACUGUCACGCUCCGAACAGCCGUAACACAGCCCGCUGGCUCGCACGGGGUGCUCUUCACCGGGUGUCCCGCGUGGCCGGCAGAGUUUACUUUGAAAAAAUUAGAGUGCUCAAAGCAGGCUACACUGAUGGCCUGAAUGCCUAUGCAUGGAAUAAUGGAAUAGGACCUCGGUUCUAUUUUGUCGGUUUUCUGAACCCGAGGUAAUGACUAAUAGGAACAGGCGGGGGCAUUCGUAUUGCGACGCUAGAGGUGAAAUUCUUGGACCGUCGCAAGACGAACUACUGCGAAAGCAUUUGCCAAGGAUGUUUUCAUUAAUCAAGAACGAAAGUUAGAGGUUCGAAGGCGAUCAGAUACCGCCCUAGUUCUAACCAUAAACGAUGCUGACCAGCGAUCCGCCGGUGUUAUUCCCAUGACCCGGCGGGCAGCUUCCGGGAAACCAAAGUCUUUGGGUUCCGGGGGAAGUAUGGUUGCAAAGCUGAAACUUAAAGGAAUUGACGGAAGGGCACCACCAGGAGUGGAGCCUGCGGCUUAAUUUGACUCAACACGGGGAACCUCACCAGGCCCAGACACCGGAAGGAUUGACAGAUUGAGAGCUCUUUCUCGAUUCGGUGGGUGGUGGUGCAUGGCCGUUCUUAGUUGGUGGAGCGAUUUGUCUGGUUAAUUCCGAUAACGAACGAGACUCUGGCCUACUAACUAGUCGACGGAUCUCCAGCAAUUGGUGUCCAGUUCGCAGCUUCUUCUUAGAGGGAUAAGCGGCAAUUCUAGCCGCACGAGAUUGAGCA
rnacentral:rRNA from 1 species